UACGUAGGGUCCGAGCGUUGUCCGGAUUUAUUGGGCGUAAAGGGCUCGUAGGUGGCCAACUAAGUCGGACGUGAAAUCCCUCAGCUUAACUGGGGAACUGCGUCCGAUACUGGAUGGCUUGAGUUUGGGAGAGGGAUGCGGAAUUCCAGGUGUAGCGGUGAAAUGCGUAGAUAUCUGGAGGAACACCGGUGGCGAAGGCGGCAUCCUGGACCAACACUGACACUGAGGAGCGAAAGCCAGGGGAGCAAACGGG
rnacentral:rRNA from 1 species